UACGAAGGGGGCGAGCGUUGUUCGGAUUUACUGGGCGUAAAGGGCGCGCAGGCGGUCUUGAAAGUCAGGCGUGAAAGCCCCGGGCUUAACCUGGGAAUUGCGCUUGAUACUCUGAGACUGGAGUACGGGAGAGGAGAGUGGAAUUCCCAGUGUAGAGGUGAAAUUCGUAGAUAUUGGGAAGAACACCAGUGGCGAAGGCGGCUCUCUGGACCGUAACUGACGCUGAGGCAUGAAAGCGUGGGGAGCAAACAGG
rnacentral:rRNA from 1 species